rnacentral:lncRNA from 1 species
GUGUGUGUUGAUUUGAUUAACAAUUCAAGCAUAUCUUUUGUGUGUUUUUUUUUUUUUUUUGUGUUUAAUUUUAUUUGAAUUUCUUAAUUUGUUCAAAGGAUGCUUGGUUAGCAGCCCGUUUUACUUGUUGGUUUUUUUAUUUGGAUUUAUAGCACUGAGGGUAUAGGUGAACGGUGAAGCGGUUUGUAUGGGCUCAUGCAUCUUAAACAUGUAGUGAGAAGUGAGGAUUUUGUUUUAGUGUUUUACAUAAUCUAAAUGAAUUACGUCGCCGGUAAAUUUGUAAUUUUCGUUACUGUUAUUUGUUAAUUAAUCUGGUUUUUUUUUUUUAAGGUCAGUUAAUUUAUCAGUUAAUAGUGUUGCUGUUAAUGAUUUAGUUUAAUUAAUCAGUUAAUAAUGCUGCUGCUAAUGAUUUAGUUUUAGUAUAAUGAUGUUGUUAAUGAUUUGGUUUUGAGUUUAAAUCUGAUUAGCAAAAAUCGGAGGGUUUAAGGUUAUGCACUUGCUUUGCAUGUGACUGCCAGAGAAAUUCAAGCUUCUGCCAAGGUAAUUAUUGAUAAUUGGAUUGUUUAAUGCGAUCAAACAUGGUAGUGAAAUGUUGAAUUUUAUGGCUACAAGUUUCUAAUUGGAAUGCUAAUGCUGCAAUUCAUGAUGAUCAAUAUGUUCUGACUUAAACAUUUACUGCAAAUGUAUUGUUGCUUUGUGAUGAAUGAGUUAUCUUUUGCAUAUAAGUCUUUUUGUUUCUCGAUACUAAGUUUAAAAUAGAGAUUUCAGAGCAAAAUUGAGUUCAGCAUAGCUUUGAUGGAUGGAUAGAUGUAUGCUUAGUUUGUAAGAGAAGAGAAAACGAAAACCACACCAAACAACUCGCAUUUAAAGCUCUUUUUCUUUUUCUCUUUUUACAUAAAUUUCUUUGUUAGAUUGCUAAGGGGCUGCACUGUGUGAGGGAUUACUAUAGAUACUAGCCUUACGUGACUGCCUUGAUUUAUGCAUGAUGGAACUAAAUUACUUUAGAAUAGAUAAUUUUUUUGGUCUUCUUUCUUUUGUUGGAAUGUUGUCACUGUCAUCCAUUAAUUUUGGAUUGUUUAGUGUCAUGGGUUCUGUAGAAUUAGACUCCAGUUGUGUCAUGGGUUGUGUCAUCCCACAAACAAUUAUGCCAUGAGUGGGAUGCUGGAUGAUUGCUAAAACAUGAGACUUAUCAAAAUGCAAAUAGGAAAUAACACCUAUAUAAGUAUACUCUGGCUUUGGCCCUGCAUUCUUAGUUGUGUGAGAUAUGCAUGGUUGAUAUCAACUAAUAAUGCAUAUUGCAAUUAUAUUCCCUUAAUUGAUGGGGUCUUCAUAACCUUUAUGAAUUUAGUAUAGGAUUUAGAUGCAUAGUGUUGCGAUGGGAACAUGAAGACUGCAUUUGGGAGUGUGCAUUAAGUGUAUUUGAUGCAUCGAUAUUUUUUUAACUUAAAAUAACCCCAAAGGUUUGGCCUUUCUGUAUUCUCAUAUAGCAUUCAACCAACAACAUGCCAUAAGGUCUCCAUUCUCUUUUCUCAUUUUUGUCAGGUCUUUUGAAACAAAAACAUUCAAACAUACAACGUGAAAUUGAAUGAUUAGAAGAAAACAAAGAUACCCAAAAAAAAAAAAAAUACACAAACUAAACCAAAUAUUAUGUCUUCCGGACACCCAAAUUCAAAACCAAUAAGUAAUGAUAACUACAUUAUUUUCUUUCCCAAUACACAACAAAUUAGCACAAAAACUCUAUAUAUAUGUAUAUAUAACGCUUCCAUAUGCUUGUUUCUCUUUCUUAGACGAAAUUAUCCAUAUGUCAAACCAUAGUGGAUAAUUUCACUUUAAUAACACUUCCGUAUGCUGAUUUCACCUCAUUAUUUUUUGCAUUCCAAUUGGUCUUUGUUUUGUUCUCAGACAGUUAUCGGCAUAGAUGAAGUAAAAUUCCGUUCUUGGCUCUCUUUUUCUUUGCUGUAUCAUCUUUUGUUUGUUGAUGUAAAUUUGGGUUAUGUUGGAUUUUUCAAUUUGAUUCUCCAAUAUAUGUUUUUGGUGACCAACUGUAGUAAAAUGCUGCUUAAAUAUUCAUCACGUUAAGGUUUUCAUGGUUAUUUGAGAAUAUCAUAUUUAAGUCACUAGAAUUCUUUAUACAGGACUGACUGGGCUCCUAUUUAAAUGACAGGUCAAUCCCAAUUUUAUGCAUUUAAGUGGAUCACCCUCCUCUUAACCCAGGAGUUCAAUUUCGCUGACAGCCUUCACACUUGGGAUACACUUUCAAGUGAUAUGAGGGUCCUCAGGUAGUAUUAUAUCCUUUUGGACUGUAUAGACUGAAGAGUUUGUUUUCAAUGCAUGAAAUGAAAAAAUUUGGCUUUUGGUUUUCGCCUCUUGAAUUAUCUGAGCUAUUGAUUACAUUAAUGUGUGUAGUACAUGGUAUUUUUAAGCCCGAGAAGGACUAAAUUAAUUUAUACAAAUUUUCUUAUGAGAAGACUUUCUACAUCUUUUAUCACUCUUCUUAGUGUAUGAUUGAACUUUAUACUCCUUUCAUUCAUUAAUUUAUGAAUUGGGUUGUUUUUCUUUUGGGAUUUCAGUAUUUAGGUCUUUAGUGACUACACAAUUUCAUGGUUUUUUACUAUUUCAGAAGUAAUUGAUAAAGUUAGAUGUGAUUCUACUAAAGUUGGAAAUCGUUGUGUCCUUAGAGCAAGUCCACCCCAGUGGACAUUGCCCAACACCUAGUCCAAAAAACUGCCCAGCCCCUUGUCAAUUUGCUCCAGCCCGCAAAAGAGCCUGGCACACAGCCCAAGCCGGGCAACAGGCCAGCCCAUUUCGGACAGACCCAGAGGCCGGCCUGUUUAGCAGGCGCGUGCAGCACAAGCGCGCUUGUGCGCGAGUAGCAGACCGGGUUGCAGGCGGGGGGGG